CAGGAAAUCUAAGAGAAAAAAAAGCAAUAUCUGUGACAGACUUAAAGGGGUACUCCGCCCCUAGACAUCUUAUCCUCUAUCCCAAGGACAGGGGAUAAGAUGCCUGAUCACGGAGGUCCCGCCACUGGGACCGCAAUCUCCCUGCUGCAUCCAGCGUUCGUUUAGAGCGCCGGGUGCAGCACCGGAGGCUUGUGAUGUCAUGGCCGCGCCCCCUCAAUGCAUGUCUAUGGGAGGGGGCGUGGCAGACUUGCAUUGAGGGGGCAUGGCCGUAAUGUCACGAGCCUCUGCCCCGCAUCACCAGUCAUCCGGCACGUAGCGAAGUUCGCUCUGUGCAUUGGAUUUCUGGGGUGCCGCAGCCGAGAUCGCAGGGGUCCCCAGCAGCAGGGUCAGACAUCUUAUCCCCCCAUCCUUUGCAUAGGGGUGGAGUACCCCUUUAAAACUUUGGGCUAUAACCGUACCCUGGAACAAUGACAUCCGCCCCCCCCUCAGCGUAGCUUUUUUUCCGGCAUGUGCUGCGCUUACGGACUUCCGUGCUCUUCAGAACGACAGCUCGCUGGGGAUGACGCCUCCGCAGGCGCCUGAGGUCAGGACCAAGGACUACAUGGUGGAGUCAGUGCUGGUCACCUUCUUCUGCUGCUUCCUGACGGGGAUCAUCGCCGUGGUCUAUUCCCAUGAGACCCGGUCGGCACUGAGCAGAGGCGACAUCCUGCAGGCCCAGGAGUCCUCCCGCAAGGCCCGCUCCCUGGUCCUCUUCAGCCUGCUCUUCGGGGUCUUCAUCUCCGUCAGCUGGAUCAUCUACGUGGUGGUCACCAUUUUCUUAUGACAGAGGAGACGUCGCUUCGAACUGUAUCAUAAUAAUAAUAAUAAUAAAAAUCCUUCUUCAGAGACCAGAAAUCACAACUGCAGCUGCUAUACCCCCAGGAGGGCAGCAGGGGGCGCCUCAGGCUGAUUGCCGCUGACCACAUCCUAUGUGUAUAUGUACAGAUAACAUUAAAUACAAUGUAUCUUUUUUUUUUUUCUUAAUUAAUCUGCAUUUUCCUUAUUUGGUGAAGUUUCUCCAAUUAACAAAACAAAAAAACAACCCAUUAUGUAUAGUUCAGUUCAUAAAGCGCAAUUUUUCUCGUCCCCUAAUACACCCCCUUCUGCAUUGUUUUUAUAUUUUAAAAGGUUGUGUUGGGGGUAAAGUCAGAGGCAAUGCAGCAGCUGCGCCAUAAAGGCUCCGCUAUAUCACUGUUCUGCAACAUAGAUAUUUAGUUCUUGUUCUCUACAUUUAAAGGGGCUGAAUCAAAGCUGGGCUAUUUUGUCAGAAGUACACACACAGUAUCUUCCCCAAUUAGUUGUCUAUCCAAUCACAGCACAACAUUCAGUCCUUACUGUUAUGCCAUGACAUAGCACUGAGGGAUAAUAUACACAGCAAAGUACUAUAGAUGGCAGGCAGGAGGAAGAAGGGGUUACUGUGCACCAGAUUUGCAAGGUGUUACGUCAGCAGAACUGCAAGAAACAGCAGCAACAACAACAAAGGGGUUACACUAGUUGCUACUGAGAAGCUAAAGGGUGGGAGGUGAUUACACUGCAACACUGUGGACAUACAGCGGUAGAUGCACUGCUUUUUUUAAAAGAUGAGCUGUCCUGAUUUGUAAAAGAUGAGAAGGAAGCCUUGAUUUACCUUGCUUUGAGAGGUGAGAAGGAAGCCAUGAUUUACCUUUGUGGAUCCUCUUCAACAGGAAAACUAGCUCAGCUCAGCAUAGCAGAUACUAAACUUCAACGCCAAGUUAUGUCCUGAGUUUCUCUAUUACUAGAGACAGAAAUCCUCUGGUAACAGGCAGUGAAUGACUGAUUGCAAAGUAGUGAGACACCUAGUAGCCAAGACUUAAACAGCUGUUUAUCUGGGGGUAAGGAGUCAUUUUUGGUCAAUGAAGUGAUUUACUAAUGUGUUAGGAUUCUCAUAGGGUUUCAAAUGGAAGGAAAUGGUUUGAAAUUGUGCAAGGAGGGUUUGCUACAAUGUAUCGGUGUAGGUAACAUGUCUCAGUCUGGAGUGCACAGAGGAGUGUUU